AUUGAACGCUGGCGGCAGGCCUAACACAUGCAAGUCGAACGAGUGGCGGACGGGUGAGUAAUGUCUGGGAAACUGCCUGAUGGAGGGGGAUAACUACUGGAAACGGUAGCUAAUACCGCAUACCAUCAGAUGUGCCCAGAUGGGAUUAGCUAGUUGGUGGGGUAACGGCACACCAAGGCGACGAUCCCUAACUGGUCUGAGAGGAUGACCAGCCACACGGUAACUGAGACACGGUCCAGACGCCUACGGGAGGCAGCAGUGGGGAAUAGUGCACAAUGGGCGAAAGCCUGAUGCAGCCAUGCCGCGUGUAUGAAGAAGGCCUUCGGGUUGUAAAGUACUUUAAGCGGGGAGGCGUUACCCGCAGAAGAAGCACCGGCUAACUCCGUGCCAGCAGCCGCGGUAAUAC
rnacentral:rRNA from 1 species